CCCGUGCAAGCCAAGAAUUUAUCCAAAAGGCCGGAUGGGACGAAAAACUUGUCGACGAAUCUUACUCCUGGGUGGAAAACGUGGUCGCUUUUGCUCCGGAACUAAAGCAGUGGCAAUCUGCGGUCAGAAGAGGUUUGUUAGAGGUUGGAAUACUUCCAGACAAUGGAGUCACGUACGAUCACUUGAUUGGUACCAAGACCGGAGGAUCGAUCUUCGAUAGCAAUGGACAUCGCCAUACGGCCGCAGAUCUGCUCAAAUACGCAAAUCCGAGCAGCAUCAAAGUAAUGCUGCAUGCAACAACAAACAAAAUACUAUUUACCGGUACGAAGUCUCAUCUGUUUUUUUACCAGACAGUUCACUGACAUUGAGACUUUCAGCUGAUAGCGAACGUCCAAGAGCAUACGGUGUCGUGUACACAGAUACGUCUGGUAUGGAGCACCGCGCAGUUCUCAAUUCAAAUCCACGCAGCGAGGUCAUACUAUCUGCCGGAGCACUGGGGAGUCCACAAUUGCUGAUGCUGAGUGGAAUUGGUCCAGAGGAGCACCUAAAGGCGUUCAAAAUACCAGUAGUCAUGAACGCACCAAAUGUUGGUCAGGGAAUGGCAGACAAUCCUAUGAACGCAAUCUUUGUACCUUCACCGAAACCGCUCGAGGUAUCGCUGGUGGAAGUCGUUGGCAUCACCAGCUUUGGCAGCUUCAUCGAGUCUGCUUCGCCGGCUCUUGGUAUCACGAUGAUCAGCAGCGUUCCUCCGCCACUGCGAACACCGAGUUUCAUACAGGCUGUUCAGAAUCAGCUACAAGAGAUGUCUUCCUACCUCCCGCGUACUGGAGUUCUGAUGGAGAAGGUAGAUGGCCCAGUCUCCAGUGGUUAUCUCAAGCUUCGCAACACCGACCCUCACGACAAUCCCGCAGUACGGUUCAACUACUUCUCC
rnacentral:lncRNA from 1 species